rnacentral:lncRNA from 1 species
AGAGACCAAAAUCAGAGGCGGCUCCUCUACUGUUCUUCUUCUUCAGUGAACUCGCCACAACUUGCCUGAGUUUUGAGCGAGUUCACUCAUUAGUCCCCCCCUCCACGUCACCUCAUCCUCAACGGAUUUUUCAGAGGAAUACUAAUUUUCUCUCCGAAUUGCACGAUUCUUGUACAAAAGGACGAUUUGUUGGACUAAUGGGAGACGUGGAUAGAUGUGAAUCAAUCAACGCCCUCCAUUUGUCCCGAUUGUUCAAAAAUCUGAACAUUUUCGGAUAUUUGAGAAGAAGAUUCGAGAAUUUUCGAGGGUUUAUAUAUAGGAGGUAAGUCUUCUUUUUAGGGGAGAAGAAAAAAUUAGAAAAUAAAUCAGGAAUAAAUCUUCAGAAAAAAAUCGAGUCAAGUUUCUAGGGUUUGAAGUCACCAUUUUCUUCAAGCCAUUCUUUCUUCAGUCUUUUUAAAAAAAAAAACAAUAUGGUCUAAGUUCGAUUUCGAUUUAAACUUUUUUGUAGUUCAUUUUUCAGAAGAAAAAUCGAGGAAGAAAUCGGAGCACUGGUUUUUCUUCUUGAGUUCUGGUUCUAAAAAGAAUUUGAUUUAAAAGUUCAGUUUGGAGUUGAGUUUUAGAGUUCAAAGUUUCAGUGUUGAUUUUGUUCAGGCUCGUCGAUUCAUAUCUCUUGCUGCUCCUUUCUAGCUUUUUGUCUUAGGCUCAUUUUUGUUUGUUUCUGGUGUUUCAUUGUUGCUUGCUGCAUUAGGUAUGCAAAAAUAACAUGUGAUUCUCUUUUUUUAAAAUAUAAAAUGAUGUUCUUAAUUAUUCGAUUCUAUGACCAUGCCUAUUGUUUGAGUUUUUGACGUAUUUGUUUGGUUCCCUAUGUCGAUUAUGCCUUCUGUCAGUUGUUCUUGUCAAAGCUUUGCCUCUACUCGUUCAUUAGUUGAGCUUUCUUCUUUUUGUUGUUUGAAAAAUAAAAAUGAUAUGAUUCUAGUUUUGAAUGUGUUAAUAGUGAUUCAUUUUGUUGAAGCAUGUUGGUCGUCUAUAUCUCAUCCCGUCGAGGCCUCCGUUUGUGAUUCUUUGAAGACUUGGAGAGGUUUCUCUUUAAGCAUGAUAUAAUCCGCAGUUUAUUUCAUAAAACUGCAGGAGGUGAUGAUCAGUAGUCUACAAUACUUUGAUUUAUUUAUAAAUUCUGUGUCAUCAAAGGAAGAUACUUUAGAGCUAGUUGACAUUGGUACUAUAAGGCUAGUGUAGCAUGGAUUUCCAAACUUGAUAGUAUUUAAGUUGUUACUAGUAUAAGAGUCUUCAGAUUUCUGUUGUUUUCCAAGUAAAAGGAACUUUUCUUCCUAGUUCAAAAAAUCGAUUUUAAGGGAAUUGCUAUAGAGCUAAUAAAGAGUGUGAUGGGCUGCUUGUGAAAUUGAAUUGGGCAUGGUUGGUAGCUGGUAAAUGUGGCUAUAUUCCCGUUUUUGUUGCUGCUGCUCAUGUAUGCCUCUCUUUAUAAUAACUUCUAGAUUUUAAUUUGAUUAUGGGACUUUUAGUUGGUAAUGGUUUAACAUAGGCUAUGGCAUAAUCUCUUCUCUUCUUUUAAAAAU